rnacentral:rRNA from 1 species
CCUACGGGAGGCAGCAGUGAGGAAUAUUAGUCAAUGGACGAGAGUCUGAACCAGCCAAGUAGCGUGAAGGAUGACUGCCCUAUGGGUUGUAAACUUCUUUUCUAUGGGAAUAAAAUGUUCCACGUGUGGGAUUUUGUAUGUACCAUAUGAAUAAGCAUCGGCUAACUCCGUGCCAGCAGCCGCGGUAAUACGGAGGAUGCGAGCGUUAUCCGGAUUUAUUGGGUUUAAAGGGUGCGCAGACGGAAUGUCAAGUCAGCGGUAAAAUUUCGGGGCUCAACCCCGUCGUGCCGUUGAAACUGGCGUUC